AGUGAACGCUGGCGGCAGGCCUAACACAUGCAAGUCGAACGGCAGCACAGGAAGAGCGUGCCCUUACGGGUGGCGGGUGGCGGACGGGUGAGGAAUAGAUCGGAUUCCACUAUUUCGGGGGGGAUAUCGGAGAAAAACUGACGCUAAUACCGCAUAUUACCUACGGGAGAAAGCAGAAGAGCAUCACAGCCUGCGUGUCACAUAGAGACGGUGUCGCAUUAGCUAGUUGGCUGGGUAAAGGCACACCAAGGCAACGAUACGUAGCAGACCUGAGAGGAUGAUCGGCCACACUGGAACUGAGACACGGUCCAGACUCCUACGGGAGGCAGCAGUGGGGAAUCUUCCGCAAUGGGCGCAAGCCUGAUCCAGCCAUACCGCGUGGGUGAAGAAGGCCUUCGGGUCGUAAAGCCCUUUUGUUGGGAAAGAACAUCAGCAGGUUAAUCCCCGGCUGUCCUGACGGUACCCAAAGAGUAAGCACCGGCUAACUUCGUG
rnacentral:rRNA from 1 species